UCAGACGAUGCGUCAUGCAUAUCAAUAAGCGGAGGAAAAGAAACUAACAAGGAUUCCCUUAGUAACGGCGAGUGAAGCGGGAAGAGCUCAAAUUUGAAAUCUUCAAGGUUUUACCUUGACGAAUUGUAGUUUAAAGAAGUGUUUUCUGCUGAAGUUUUGGUAAAAGUUCUUUGGAAUAGGACAUCAUAGAGGGUGAGAAUCCCGUAUUUGACCAUUAUUUUCAGCUUUGUGAUACACUUUCAAAGAGUCGGAUUGUUUGGGAAUGCAGUCCAAAAUGGGUGGUAAAUUUCAUCUAAAGCUAAAUAUUGGCGAGAGACCGAUAGCGAACAAGUACCGUGAGGGAAAGAUGAAAAGAACUUUGAAAAGAGAGAUAAACAGUACGUGAAAUUGUCAAAAGGGAAGCGUUUGACACCAGUGUUGUUUUCUCGAAAAUCAAUUAAAAAUGGCUCGAUCUUGUAUUGCUUGAGACCUUAAAAGCUCACUGUACAUUUUUCGUGUCUUUUUUAAUGCACUUUUCGUUUAACAAGUCAACAUCAGUUUCUUUUGUUGUAAAAGGGUCAUUGGAAGGUAGGCUUUCUUUUCGGAGAAAGUGUUUAUAGCCUUUGGCCUCUGCAAUCGGAGAGACUGAGGUCUGCAGCGUAGACUCUUCGGGGUUAGAUACAUUUGUGCUAAGUUAUAGCUUUUUAUAGACAACUUGUUGACUAUAAUUAGUCUUGUAGCUUACUCGCUUAUGCUAUUUUACCUACGCUUAGGAUGUUGACGAUCAGCUGAGCGCG
rnacentral:rRNA from 1 species